rnacentral:rRNA from 1 species
UACGUAGGGGGCUAGCGUUGUCCGGAAUCAUUGGGCGUAAAGCGCGUGUAGGCGGCCCGAUAAGUCCGCUGUGAAAGUCCAGGGCUCAACCCUGGGAUGCCGGUGGAUACUGUCGGGCUAGAGUCCGGAAGGGGCGAGUGGAAUUCCUGGUGUAGCGGUGAAAUGCGCAGAUAUCAGGAGGAACACCAAUGGCGAAGGCAGCUCGCUGGGACGUGACUGACGUUGAGACGCGAAAGCGUGGGGAGCAAACAGG